UACGACAAAGGCAAACCUAUCGCGAGGUAGGGACGCAAAGCCAAGGGCCUCUCUGAGGCAGCCUGGUUACCGAAA
rnacentral:ncRNA from 1 species